rnacentral:rRNA from 1 species
GGUUUAAUUCGAUGCAACGCGAAAAACCUUACCCACCUUUGACAUGUACGGAACCCUUUAGAGAUAGAGGGGUGCUCGAAAGAGAGCCGUAACACAGGUGCUGCAUGGCUGUCGUCAGCUCGUGUCGUGAGAUGUUGGGUUAAGUCCCGCAACGAGCGCAACCCUUGUCAUUAGUUGCUACAUUCAGUUGGGCACUCUAAUGAGACUGCCGGUGACAAGCCGGAGGAAGGUGGGGAUGACGUCAAGUCCUCAUGGCCCUUAUAGGUGGGGCUACACACGUCAUACAAUGGCUGGUACAAAGGGUUGCCAACCCGCGAGGGGGAGCCAAUCCCAUAAAGCCAGUCGUAGUCCGGAUCGUAGUCUGCAACUCGACUACGUGAAGUCGGAAUCGCUAGUAAUCGUGGAUCAGAAUGUCACGGUGAAUACGUUCCCGGGUCUU